GGACGACCUCUAGCAUCUGCGCUAGACGCUUGCUGCGGAUCAGCUCCCGGGAGGCCAGCAGGAUGGCUGGGGGAGGAGGGACAGGGGACACGGGUUUGAGCCCUGGUCCGGGAAGAUCCCACAUGCCGCAGAGCAACUAAGCCCAUGCACUGCAACGACUGAGCCUGCGCUCUAGAGCCCGCGAGCCACACCUACUGAGCCUGUGAGCCACAACUACUGGAGCCUAUGUGCCUAGAGCCUAUGUUCCACAACAAGAGAAGCCACUGAAGUGAGAAGCCCUCGUUCGCCGCAACUAGAAGAAGCCCGCACACGGCAACAAAGACCCACGCAGCCAAAAAUAAAUAAAUAAAUUAAAAAAAUAUAUAUAUAUAUAUAAUACUUUCACUUUUCUAAACCUAGUGAUUAAAAAUUUUAAUUUCAGCAUUUUACA